rnacentral:rRNA from 1 species
UACAGAGGUCUCAAGCGUUGUUCGGAUUCAUUGGGCGUAAAGGGUGCGUAGGCGGUUCGGUAAGUCAGGUGUGAAAUCUCCACGCUCAACGUGGAGGCGCCACCUGAAACUGCCGUGACUCGAGUCCGGUAGGGGAGUGUGGAAUUCCCGGUGUAGCGGUGAAAUGCGCAGAUAUCGGGAGGAACACCAGUGGCGAAGGCGGCACUCUGGGCCGGUACUGACGCUGAGGAGCGAAAGCGUGGGGAGCGAACAGG